rnacentral:lncRNA from 1 species
AGCAUACACAUCAGCGAGUAAGGAGCAAUGGGGAUCAUUGUAAGUGGGACCACCAGGAUAUUCUUGGACUUUUAACUUCCUGCAUUGCAACAUUGUAAGUGUGUACAGGCCUAAAGCUGAGAAAUUUUUGUGUGUUUCAUUUUAUGUUUUUCCUUCCCAUAGGAUUCAUAGUUCUAUGCUAUCGAUUGUCUAACAUAAAUGAAGUUGUUUUUCAUAUGCUUUUUAUCAGUUUUCUAAUUGUUUAUGAGUGGAAGGAUAGUCCAAAAUGGUUAGUCCAUUA